GGGCCUAUAGCUCAGCUGGUUAGAGCACUUGACUCAUAAUCAAGGGGUCCCUGGUUCGAGCCCAGGUGGGCCCA
rfam:Echinicola vietnamensis DSM 17526, complete genome.